rnacentral:rRNA from 1 species
GUGUCAGCAGCCGCGGUAAUACAGAGAGUGCGAACGUUGUUCGGAAUUACUGGGCUUAAAGCGCACGUAGGCGGCAUCGUAAGUGUCCGGUGAAAUCCCACGGCUCACCCGUGGAACUGCCUGGCAGACUGCGAUGCUCGAGUGUGGUAGGGGAGAGCGGAACUCCUGGUGGAGCGGUGAAAUGCGUAGAUAUCAGGAGGAACACCGGUGGCGAAGGCGGCUCUCUGGUCCACAACUGACGCUGAGGUGCGAAAGCUAGGGGAGCAAACGGGAUUAGAUACCCCCGUAGUCC